rnacentral:rRNA from 1 species
GAUGAACGCUAGCGGCAGGCCUAAUACAUGCAAGUCGAGCGGCAAGUCGAGGAGUAAUCUGAGACCUAGAGCGGCGUACGGGUGCGUAACGCGUAUGCAACCUACCUCAUACAGGGGAUAGCCCGGAGAAAUCUGGAUUAAUACCCCAUAGCACAGCACAAGGGCAUCUGCGAGCUGUUAAAGAUUCAUCGGUAUGAGAUGGGCAUGCGUCUGAUUAGCUAGUUGGCGGUGUAACGGACCACCAAGGCGACGAUCAGUAGGGGUUCUGAGAGGAAGGUCCCCCACACUGGCACUGGGAGACGGGCCAGACUGCUACGGGAGGCAGCAGUAGGGAAUAUUGGGCAAUGGACGAGAGUCUGACCCAGCCAUGCCGCGUGCAGGAAGAAGGCCUUCUGGGUUGUAAACUGCUUUUAUCUGGGAAGAAAAGGCCCAUGCGUGGGACAUUGCCGGUACCAGAUGAAUAAGCACCGGCUAACUCCGUGCCAGCCGCCGCGGUAA